rnacentral:tRNA from 1 species
GGAGAGGUGACCGAGUGGCCGAAGGUGCACGCCUGCUAAGCGUGUGUAGGGUAACACUUACCGAGGGUUCGAAUCCCUCCCUCUCCGCCA